UUGUUAGCUCUGAUACCAAUUGUUAGGAUCGCUCAACAACGCACAUACUCGCUCAAUAUGAACACAUAAGAACAAGAGAGGGAAAAUACAAGGAAAAUAUU